ACGUUGAAACACCGGUUCUCGUACGAUCACCGAAGUUAAGCAACAUCGAUCGUCGUCAGUACCCCGAUGAGUGACCGCUUGGAAAUACUAGGUGUUGUAAG